rnacentral:rRNA from 1 species
CAGCAGCCGCCGCGGUAAUACGUAGGUGGCAAGCGUUGUCCGGAAUUAUUGGGCGUAAAGGGCUCGCAGGCGGUUUCUUAAGUCUGAUGUGAAAGCCCCCGGCUCAACCGGGGAGGGUCAUUGGAAACUGGGAAACUUGAGUGCAGAAGAGGAGAGUGGAAUUCCACGUGUAGCGGUGAAAUGCGUAGAGAUGUGGAGGAACACCAGUGGCGAAGGCGACUCUCUGGUCUGUAACUGACGCUGAGGAGCGAAAGCGUGGGGAGCAAAUGGGAUUAGAUACCCGUGUAGUCCCUGUCUCUUAUAC